rnacentral:misc_RNA from 2 species
AACGCACAUUGCGCCCGCCAGUAUUCUGGCGGGCAUGCCUGUUCGAGCGUCAUUUCAACCCUCAAGCUCUGCUUGGCGUUGGGGAUCGGCAACCCGGCUUCGCGCCGCGCCGUCCCUCAAAUACAGUGGCGGUCACGCUGCAGCUUCCUUUGCGUAGUAGCACACCUCGCACCGGAGAGCAGCGCGGCCACGCCGUAAAACCCCCGACUUCUUGUUUUUGACCUCGAAUCAGGUAGGACUACCCGCUGAACUUAA